rnacentral:rRNA from 1 species
AUUGAACGCUGGCGGCAUGCCUAACACAUGCAAGUCGAACGAGACCUUCGGGUCUAGUGGCGCACGGGUGCGUAACGCGUGGGAAUCUGCCCUUGGGUUCGGAAUAACAGCGAGAAAUUGCUGCUAAUACCGGAUGAUGACGUAAGUCCAAAGAUUUAUCGCCCAAGGAUGAGCCCGCGUAGGAUUAGCUAGUUGGUGAGGUAAAGGCUCACCAAGGCGACGAUCCUUAGCUGGUCUGAGAGGAGUGAUCAGCCACACUGGGACGUGAGACACGGCCC